GGAAGGUGGGAGUGAACGUCAAAUCAUCAUGCCCCUUAUGUUCUGGGCUACACACGUGCUACAAUGGCCGGUACAGACGGAGCAAAGCCGCGAGGUGGAGCAAAUCCUAAAAAGCCGGUCUCAGUUCGGAUUGCAGGCUGCAAUUCGCCUGCAUGAAGUCGGAAUCGCUAGUAAUCGCAGGUCAGCAUACUGCGGUGAAUACGUUCCCGGGCCUU
rnacentral:rRNA from 1 species